GAUGAAGAACGCAGCGAAAUGCGAUACGUAAUGUGAAUUGCAGAAUUCAGUGAAUCAUCGAGUCUUUGAACGCACAUUGCGCCCCCUGGUAUUCCGGGGGGCAUGCCUGUCCGAGCGUCAUUGCUGCCCUCAAGCACGGCUUGUGUGUUGGGCCUCCGUCCUCCUCCCGGGGGACGGGCCCGAAAGGCAGCGGCGGCACCGCGUCCGGUCCUCGAGCGUAUGGGGCUUCGUCACCCGCUCUUGUAGGCCCGGCCGGCGCUUGCCGACACAUCAAUCUUUUUUCCAGGUUGACCUCGGAUCAGGUAGGGAUACCCGCUGAACUUAAGCAUAUCAAUAAGCGGAGGU
rnacentral:misc_RNA from 1 species